rnacentral:ribozyme from 1 species
CGAAUGACAAAAAGAUAUCAAGAGGGAAGAGGAGAGCUGGUUCUUUUUCCAUGGAAAACUCUCGUCUCGUGUUUGCAAUCUUGUUGUUUGUUUGUUUGUUUUGUUCUUUUAUUGUUGCUU